rnacentral:rRNA from 1 species
AUUGAACGCUGGCGGCAGGCCUAACACAUGCAAGUCGAGCGGAUGAAGGGAGCUUGCUCCUGGAUUCAGCGGCGGACGGGUGAGUAAUGCCUAGGAAUCUGCCUGGUAGUGGGGGAUAACGUCCGUAAACGGGCGCUAAUACCGCAUACGUCCUGAGGGUGAAAGUGGGGGUUCUUCGGACCUCACGCUAUCAUAUGAGCCUAGGUCGGAUUAGCUAGUUGGUGGGGUAAAGGCCUACCAAGGCGACGAUCCGUAACUGGUCUGAGAGGAUGAUCAGUCACACUGGAACUGAGACACGGUCCAGACUACUACGGGAGGCAGCAGUGGGGAAUAUUGGAAAAUGGGCGAAAGCAUGAUACAGCGAUGCCGCGUGUGUGAAGAAGGUCUUCGGAUUGUAAAGCACUUUAAGUUGGGAGGAAGGGAAGUAAGUUAAUACCUUGCUGUUUUGACGUUACCAACAGAAUAAGCACCGGCUAACUUCGUG